GGAGAUUCAUGAUCCCUGAGGUCCCUCCAACCCUGGCAAUUCUGUGCUUCUGUGAUUCUGUGACUGCACCUUCUUUUCUAGCCAAGAGAAGCCCCCUGGCCACUACCUGUAGCUUUUCAUGUGUUGCCUAAUACUUGUGAUGCUGUUUGAAUGAGCUGGUGGCAGGAACCCUAACACAGGAUACCAGCACUUCGUAGCCAGCUGGGCAGCAGCAGGCUGAGUGUCUCUGGGUUUCCAUGUAGCACGAGUGGUAUGGGCUGUCAGUAUUGUGAGGAGCAGUGCUGUGAGGGAAGAGGAGGGGAUCUCCUGCAUGGCUGACAUACAAACUAGUAGGCUUGCAGUUUCAGAAGCACAACAGUUGGCCUUCUGAGGGUGUUUUCUGGGGAACCACUGGUUCUUGACAUUUAGCCUGGUAGCAGCUAGAUGGGAUAAAAGCCUUUGGCAGAAAGGUUCUACCUAGAAGGAUCUUUUGCAUGCCAAAUUUAUCUGAUUGCUUCCAGCUCGAGGCUGGAACACAGGUAGAUAGAUGACUGAAUAGAUCAAGGACCAAGUGAAGCAUGUGCUGCUUUACCACUCCUUGAGAUCUAUGGAUGAAUCUUCAGGAAGAAAGCAAAGAACGCAGCAAAGGAGCAACAGUAGUAUCUGUGUGGGAAACUUAUUUAGACAUCAUUGGCUUGUAUUAAAAUAAAGAAACAAUAUAGCAAGGCCUCUGAAGAGCAAGUCAAAUGCCAAGGUAUGGUAUUUUCCACUGAAACUCAACUCUCAUUCUCCUUUGCCUUGACCUAUGUGUCAUCAUAUGCUGUGUGGAAAAUGAUCUGUUCCGAGCUCUUUGUGUCUGAAUUCUUCUGUUCAGUUGAGAACAAGAUUGGAUUUUAAAUAUUGUCUUCACUAUGCACAUAAAUGUAACCACAAAAAAGCAAGCUAUCUAAACAUGAAGCAGUGUUGGAAGUGUGUGUCUGUGUUUGUAUAAGACGAGACAGUGUGAAAUCUAAAUCCAGCAGCAAGUCAUGAUUACAGGUGAUGUCUGUACCUAUGUGUAAUUUUGGUACGACUUUGUUGAGGAGCUGUUUUCUGCUACUUGCAUCCCAGGAAAGUGAGGACAGAGGAUCUGCACGGGUCCCUGCAACUACUCUCAGUUAUGGCAUCAGGGCUGAUCUUGGAGCAGUAUUAUUUCCUCUUGGUUCCAUGGUGUCUGUAUGGAGUUUCAUCAGCCAUGAAAAUAAGAGUCUGCUGAACCAGUGUGAAGAACUUGAUAACAACGGACAGAAUCAGGAAAAUAUAUGGAUGUAUGGCCUUACUGUACGCUGCAUAUCCGAUAGCUAAAUCCUUGAGUGUUCCUGAAUUCUCUAGGAACUAUAAGCCAGAACUAAAUAGUCUGAAGUUCACACCGCACUUUAAUUUGCAUUAAUUAUCAAUUGUAUAUCAACUUGCAAAAUUCACUGAAAAUCGAAUUAUGUGGUUCUGUAUCUUACUCCUAUCCUUAUUCAAGUCACUGGCACAUGAUUGCUUAGCCCUCUAAGCAUCUGAUGGUGCAAAGCAAAAGCAUUUCCCCGCCCAGGAAGAGCAAGCACACUACAAAAAGCGCGGUAUCUUCCUAUAGUCUCAGGUGGAGGAGAAUUUUUGCAGGGGAAGUCCUGAUAGAAACCCACCCUCACUUGUUUUGGGGCUGUAGAGUUUGAAACAUGACUGUACGGAGAAGAAAAGUACGUCUCCUCAAUACUCGAGCUUGCUUGCUGCUGGCAAUGUACCUGUGGCACUGGGCACAACAGACUCUGGCAACGUCGUGCCCUGAUGGUGAGCUGAGAGCAAUUGCUAAAGAUGUAAAGAAAUGCUGCCCCAAAUGCUUCUCCAACACAGGGGACAACAGCCCAUGUGAAGAAGCAAAGGAUGCAGACUGCAAGUGUCCUCAGGGAUUCAGUUGUGCUGACAGGUCCUGUAGCUCCUGCAAGAAAACUGAAUGUCCAGAGGGCAAGGAGCUGAUUAGGCUAGGUAUCAUUUACUAUACAUAUUCAUGUAAACCAUGUGAGACAGGAACCUAUUCUAAUGGUAAGAACAGCUGGUGCCAAAGCUGGACUGAUUGUGAAAGUUCUGGCCUUCUAACAAUCAAGCAAGGCAACAGCACACACAAUUCGUUAUGUGGCUACCUGGUUAAAUAUUUGGACCGAGACAGUGUUACAAAUGAUCCUCGGUACACCGCUAUGCUGGCCAUCCUGUCAGCAGUGGGUCUGUUUGUUCUCAUCUUGCUGACCUUCUUCCUACAUCUCUGCAUAUGGUCGCUGAAGAAAGAAAAACAUCCCACAGCUGACAAUUUGGAACGUAACUUCUCUAAGCUGCCAUUGGCUCCACAGCCAUCCCACCACAAAGAAGAGACUUACAGCUGCCAGUACCCAGAAGAAGAACAUGGAGACAAAAUACUGGAAGAGAAACCUUACUACUUCCAACCUCCGAGUCUCCACUGAGAACAGAUAAACUGCAAUGUGCUGUGAGAACGAGGAGCUGAGCUCAGCUGUAAACCAAACAGGAGGGAGGGACUGGGUGCAUAAGCAUCACUAUGUACAUAGAAAUAAGGAAUGGGUUUGGGGCUCAGCAACCUUUGGUACCUGGAAUAAUGAAUUAAAUAGAAGAGGAUUGUGAUAGACUCCAGUGAGAAUCAUGCUGUUUAGAGAAAGACAAGACUUAAUAUACUCUGGAGAAAGCUGCUUGGAGUAGGCUCAUGGCUAAGCCAAAUCUGGACCAAAAGGAGUUUGAAUCAGCCUUCAAGUUUCUAAAUAUCUCAUUGCACCCCUUAUGAGGUAUUGUCUCCAUGGUGUGGGUUGCACAAUCUCUUGAAAAGAGGGUCCUGAAAAGUGGAAUAUUUCCUUCCUAACCUAGUCAUGUGCUCCAAAGCUGUUUAUUUCCAGUUGGUCUUUCUUGAAGCCUUCUUCAAAGGAGGAGCUUCUUGGCAAGCUUGAAUAGACCUAAAGGAUUAAUUUCAUGAUUUAUGGACGUUCUUUUGUUGCUGAACAUUUCCUCAGCGAUUAUAUCAAGAGGAGUUAUCUUGUUGCUGUUACUUGUUGUUGUGCACUAUAAAAUCUUACAACUGGGUGAAACAGUUGUAGGGGAAAAUGAAGUGCAAAGCAUUAUCCUUAUCCAGUGUAAUACAUUCCUUCAUAGCUCCUGUUUUAAUCUUCUGUCUUCCCUGUUAUUCCAUAUAGGACUGCUGAUGUCCUUUUACCUUAGCUUUUCUAUCUCAUAAAAUGGGAAGAGUGAGAGUUCUUAAAAGCAUAUUGUGAAACUUAAUUGGUACUUCCAGUGUAUUUUUGCCUUCUUUGAUCCUUCUGCUGUUAAUUUAUGCAUUGUUGAUAAUUUUUCCCAUGGGUAUUGCCAUGUAAAAUUCAUUUGAAAAGUGUUUUCUUCCAUUGCAUUGAGAAACAUGCAGAUUUUUAACUGUGGUGAACUGGAGAUUGAUAAAAGGUGCCAAGCAUUGGACUGGAUGAAACAGGACUUAGUUUGAUGUGUGAGUUUUAGACUUAGUUUGAAGUGUAAGAUUGACUCUGACUUAUAAGCAGAUUUAAUAUACUCCGAAGUCUGAACUCUUGCUGAUCAAGGUUCUUCUUACUGCUCUUGUGCUGGCCAUGUUUACUCUCUGCUCUGUAUGGAACCUUCAUUUUUUAAUAUAGCGUGUUUUUCAAUCAGUUCUUGGGUUAUGACCCUUUGUAAAAGUAAAAUAAAUGCAACAAUUGAA